CCUCUCCACCUCCCUCAUCAUCAUAGGUCACAACAUUUUCCCGAACAUCUUCUUCUGAAAUGAUCAAAGGCUCCUUCUUGCUACGUCUUAGGGUGAUGAAAAGGACCACAAUUGCUAAAGAGAAAACUGCAGAUAUUAGAGCACAAACCCGGAUGGUGAGGGUACUGCUGCUGCUGAGAGGGGGCACGCCACCAUCAGAAAUCAGAACUGGCAGACAACUACAUCAUAAUCUCUGGCAAGCUCGGGAGGAUUGUCAUUGACAUCCAGGAUUCUAACACCAACUGGAACGUGGCUCACUAGCCCAGGAUUGUCUGCAAAACACACAGGAUGAUAUUAAACCUUUUAAAGUACUCAAAAUUGCAUGUCAAUCUCAAUUAAAAGUGUUUUAUUAACACAAUAACUAGAUGAAAACUGGA